rnacentral:lncRNA from 1 species
GCAGAGCCACUGUGCAGGACAGGUCAGAGAGCGAAGGCCAGGGUCACUGGACAGGGUCCAGGGAAGUCCCUGUAGAGAGGAAAUGAAACCACAGCUUGGUGAGCAGGCCUCUGGGGUCUCAUUGUGUUAAAGACCAUUGCCAAAGGUCAUCCUGUCUCAGGAAAGUCUGCACAGAACUUUCCUGUGGAACAGCUCCUGCAGAAUCGGCACAGGUCUGGACUAUUUGGAUUGUUUCACAGUAAGCAUUGUACUUUUGAUGCUUUUGGUGCAAGUGUGAAAAAAAUUAUAGAGGGGGAAAGUAAAUCCAGCUGUUGGUUAAUCAGGCAAACCACUGUAGUCUUUGAGAUAAGAAAGUCGGAUCUUGGGCAAACUGAGCACGACCCAUGCAAGCAAAGAUGGUGGCAGAUCUGACCAAGAGCUGACCCUAAACUUCCUCAUACCUUCAUAUCCUGCCUUUUGUAACAAAAUCUCCACCCAAAGCAUGGAAAAGGAGGUCGACGUGGCGUGGGGGGAGAUGAGAAGAGAAAAAAGCACUGAGUGUAUGAAAGCCACCAACCCUUCUUCUCUAGAACUAUGGACAGAAUAUAAAAUGCAGUUCUCAAUGACUUUGAAAAGCAAAAGCAGAAGGCAAAUGCAGGAGAGAAAUCAAAGCUUGCGGAAGUGGCCCAUUGGAGGUGAACGCCCUGGGUGUGGACAGUGCUGGUGACAACACCUAUCCUGAGAGCCCAGAGUAUUGCUUUCUCACUCUGUCCACGAAAGACCGUGUGUCUCCUGCAAGCUUAUGCUGUCCCCAAUUUCCGCGGUUUUCUGACUUCAUUGAUAGGAAUCCAGGGCUUUAACUUAUUUCAGGAUUUCUUCACUAGCUUCAGGACCCAGUGCUUCCACGCCGGAGGGGGUUCUCCACUGGCUGGCACUGGUGCCAUCAGUGGGAGCACGUGGAGAUGUCUGAGUGCUGGCUCUGGAGUGGAGCAUGGACCCUCUAAGGGGUCCUGCACUGUCUGUGUGAAGCCCCCAGCAGGAGGCCCUGCUGUAAUAUUCAUCAUACAACACUGCUGCUUUUCAGCAGAUAAAGAGGAAAUAAUAAUUCAGAGGACCAAAUCAUUCCCAGAACCCUCAGACCGGGGCCUGAUAGAAGUAGCCAUAUGAACAAAAAGGCCACCUUCCCAGUGGGGAUCGUCACCAGAGUCAGAAUGAAGAGCCGGGCGUGGUGCGGCAGACCUGUCUUCCCAGCACUCAGGAAGCUGAGGCAGGAGGAUUGGCAUGAGUUCGCAUCCAUCCCGGGCUGCUUGAUGAAGUAACUCGUGAAGAACGGAGCCUCAGUCGCCUCACAGCACUGGAGGCUGAGAGGUCCAGGACCAAAGGGCUGCAUCCACUGAGGGCCUCUGUGCCCACGGGAAGCUGAGGCAGCAGGAUCACGAGUGUCAGCCUAGCCUGAGCAACUCAGCGACUUAGCUGGGGAUUUAGCUCAGUGCAGGCCCUGGAAUCAAUUCCUAAUAUAGGACAGGGAAAAGGAGAGAGAACGGGAG